CUAAAAUUCUAUCUUUAUAGUACGUUAAAUUGAACCAGUUGUGAAACUCUACCAGCACGAAAUGCAUGCUGGCUGAAACAAGGAGAGCGGCUCAGUCCUCACCAUUCGAACCUCUUCAGUGUACAUUACCAUUCGUGCUAUUGGAGUCAAUUUCUAACACCGGCCAUUUGAUUUGAAGUGGUAUAAAAUGAUUCUGAACUAGUCUCGGCCACAUUCUGUCUUUCCCCGUUCCGCCCGUAAAUGCGCAAAGGCGUUGUAGUAGACGCUACGCGCUAACGAACCAAACUCGUAACCUGGUAUUCCAUAGUCGUAUGUAGGAAAAAAAGGGUGGCGCGAGAUUUCUAGACGAAUCACAGUUUAUUAAAGAUUUCAUGCUUAAGAAAAAAGGGAGAAGAAUACGAUUAACUAACGCAAUUUCAGAUAGGAAUGAAAACACUUGAGAGUCGAUGAUACGCGUACCCUGGUGUUCCACAAUCAUAUAUCAAAGGUGCGAACUAAAAUGUUGAAAUCUCUUUCUCGAGGUGGAGUUGAAAGCUUAGCUUGUCCCGUAAAUGGAGUUUUUACAACAAGACACCGGUGAAUUUGAAGAUAAUAUAAGUUCGAAUAUAUUUAAAAAGAAUGUUGUAUUUGUAAUUAUAUGUAAAAAGUGAUUUAACUGCAGAAGUAUUCAUUAACAAGCUAAUAUGCAUGAACGCCUUCUAUUGAUUUACCUUUUCUCCAUAUGUUUCAUUUUAUAAAAUAAUCAGUUCAUG